UUGUACAUAAAGUUCACAUUUAUUGUAUUUUUUUUCUCACAUUGUUAAGCAGCAGUGCCACUCACUGGUGACAAAUUAUAACUUCGAUUCAGGUUGUUUUGAAAAGUUUUAUAUAUUUUUUAAAGUAAUCAACCACAUUUGGCAGGGCUUGAUACACUGAGUAUAUUAUUUAAUGAAGAAAACAAUUGAUAAAUCUCUGCUUAUGGUAAGUAAUGGUGGUAAGUAGUCAGGUAAAGUUUCCUGUGGGGAAUCUUGUGAGGAAGCAUUAACUCUGUAAUUUACUGAUCUAAGAGGCGGAGUUGGUGAUAUUAACUCAAUGUCCGGAGCUGAGCGCUGAGUCUCAUUUUAGGACAAAGUGUCACAGUGCGAGGAGAUUCUGAGCGCCAGAUUACCUCCAGCGGUUAUACCCAUUAAUGAAUGGGUUAACCACAAAGUUCUCAGCCACUCUCAUUCUGAUGAAGUUGUUAUGGUGCACAGAAUGUCCCUUUAACAUGCAAGUCGCGUACACCGAUUGUCUGUGUCCGUUCUGGAGCUAUAUGUAUCUAUAAUAAAUGCUAUAAUCUUGUUAGACUGUGUUAGUAAAUACUAUCACUGUGUGCAGACAGCGCAUGUUCUGUCUGAAUGAAUAUAAGGGAAUAUAAGUAUGUGUUAAGUGAAGCGGUUAAUCUCUGAUUUCUGAAAACAGGAAGGGAUAAAUGUAAAUUUAAGGAAACAGCAGCCAUUGAAAGCUUGUGAAUGGUUUCUGAUUUAAUACCUUGAUGGCUUCGGUCUAUAUGUCAGUGAGCAGUAAACGUUCACUUCGUAUUAUGGCAGAACAAAACGAUGACUGAAUUGUGACGCAUGGGACAGAAACUGAUGGCAUCACUCUGAAUCAUAGAGAAAUUAUAAACUAAGGACAUUCUUCUGAAGCAUUCUAGACAAACUGAUUUAAUACAGAAUAUCUCUAAAUCCUUAUUGGACCUUCAUGACAUCAUUGUGAAUGAUAUUACAGAAAAUUAUGAUGUCAUUUAGAAUCUUGUAGAGACGUUGUUUACAUCAUUCUGAGGGUUAAUACACCAUUUAUAAUUUACAGGUUUAUUCACUAGUGAGGAUUGAUGGAAAUUCAAGGAGAAAACUGUUAUAGAUGAACGAGAAGCGUAGCUGACCUAGAGAAAUGUUCCAAUUCAGCUAUUUUGGCCUUUGAAAUUCACUCUGAAUUGCCCACAAUUUUCAUGUUAGUGAAUAACUCCGAUGGUGUCUACUUUUUAUGCUCAUUAUGUCCAAGUCACUCUAAAGAUCUGGAACAAAACUUGUUUAAAAGAUAAGAAUGCGGCUCGGUUGAAUGAGUCCAGGUUGGCAGUGAUCAGAAUCUGUCUUCUGUCACCGACCCUGUAGGUGUCUUUUAAGAUGGUUUAGUCAUUGAUUUAUGUUGCCUGUCUCUGUACUAAUUG